rnacentral:rRNA from 1 species
GGUGAACGCUGGCGGCGUGCCUAACACAUGCAAGUCGAGCGGUGCAGUUUGAAGCUUCGGUGGAAAGCUGCAUAGCGGCGGACGGGUGAGGAAAACGUAGGAACGUGCCCCUUGGAGUUGGAUAGCCACGGGAAACUGUGGGUAAACCGACAUAGACUCGAGAGAGUAAAGGCCGAAAGGCGCCAAGGGAGCGGCCUGCGGCCCAUCAGGUAGUUGGUAGUGUAAAGGACUACCAAGCCGACGACGGGUAGCCGGUCUGAGAGGGUGGCCGGCCACAAGGGCACUGAGAGACGGGCCCUACUCCUACGGGAGGCAGCAGUGGGGGAUUUUGGACAAUGGGCGAAAGGCCUGACCCAGCCAUGCCGCGUGAAGGAAGACGGCCUUAUGGGUUGUAAACUUCUUUACUACGCGAAUAGAGGUUAGUACGAGAUACUAAUAGGAAGGUAGUGUAGUAAAAAGCACCGGCUAACUCCGUG